GAUGAACGCUGGCGGCGUGCCUAAUACAUGCAAGUCGAGCGAACGGACGAGAAGCUUGCUUCUCUGAUGUUAGCGGCGGACGGGUGAGUAACACGUGGAUACCCUACCUAUAAGACUGGGAUAACUUCGGGAAACCGGAGCUAAUACCGGAUAAUAUUUUGAACCGCAUGGUUCAAAAGUGAAAGACGGUCUUGCUGUCACUUAUAGAUGGAUCCGCGCUGCAUUAGCUAGUUGGUAAGGUAACGGCUUACCAAGGCAACGAUGCAUAGCCGACCUGAGAGGGUGAUCGGCCACACGGGAACUGAGACACGGUCCAGACUCCUACGGGAGGCAGCAGUAGGGAAUCUUCCGCAAUGGGCGAAAGCCUGACGGAGCAACGCCGCGUGAGUGAUGAAGGUCUUCGGAUCGGAAAACUCUGUUAUUAGGGAAGAACAUAUGUGUAAGUAACUGUGCACAUCUUGACGGUACCUAAUCAGAAAGCCACGGCUAACUACGUG
rnacentral:rRNA from 1 species